UAGGGAAUCUUCGGCAAUGGGGGGAAACCUGACUGAGCAACGCAGCGUGAGAGAAGAAGGUUUUCGGAUCGUAAAGCUCUGUGGUUAAGGAAGAACGAGUGUGAGAAUGGAAAGUUCAUAGUGUGACGGUACUUAACGAGAAAGGGACGGCUAACUACGUGAUAGCAGCCGAGGUAAUACGUAGGGCCCGAGCGUGGUCCGGAGUUAUUGGGCGUAAAGCGAGCGCAGGCGGUGAGAUAAGUCUGAAGUUAAAGGCAGUUGCUCAACCAUUGUAGUCUUUGGAAACUGUUUAACUUGCGUGCCGAAGGGGAGAGUGGAAUUCCAUGUGUAGCGGUGAAAUGCGUAGAUAUAUGGAGGAACACCGGUCGCGAAAGCGGCUCUCUCGUCUGUAACUGACGCUGAGUCUCGAAAGCGUAGGGAGCGAACAGG
rnacentral:rRNA from 1 species